GGGGUCGUAGCUCAAAUGGUAGAGCGCCCGCUUAGCAUGCGAUGCUGAGCGCCGCAGAUGAUAUGCGGGAGGUAGGGGGAUCGAUGCCCUCCGACUCCA
rfam:Volvox carteri f. nagariensis unplaced genomic scaffold VOLCAscaffold_392, whole genome shotgun sequence.